rnacentral:tRNA from 1 species
GCUCAUUUGGCGGAAUGGUAGACGCGUUAGACUUAAAAUUUAAUCCUUUUUUUGGGGUAUCGGUUCAAUUCCGAUAAUGAGUA